rnacentral:lncRNA from 1 species
UCAGACUUCCAAUUUUAUUUAGUAGCUGUUUAAUUCUUGUUAGUUGAGUAUUAGUUAGUUAGGGACCUAUCCCAAUGGCUCUCUAGUUUGGAGUAGUAGAGGUUUGUCAAACUAGUCAUCAGAUUAUCAGCACUUCGAGAUUUUCUUUGAGUUGUAGUUUGUUCAGACCAAGUAUUUCAUUCAUAUUUCUCAUUUUAUGAUGU